rnacentral:tRNA from 1 species
GCCCAUGUAGCUCAGUUGGCAGAGCACGCCCUUGGUAAGGGCGAGGUCUCCGGUUCAAGCCCGGACAUGGGCUCCA